UACUGUAUCUUCUCUGGGAUUAGCUGGCAGAGGAGGAAGAGAGGAGGAAGAGAGCAGCCUUCCAUUUUCCUCAAGGGGGGAAGUGACUGGUCGUGGAGGAGGAAGUAGGAGAGGAGAGCAGGAAAAGGCGUCCCGUCGUCACAGGGUGCGGGGAGCAAACACGACAGGGCGCACGAAGCCACUGAUGAAGUUUGCCGGGAUUCCUGCCAGCGUUGACUGAGCCUUGAUCGAGGGCCACACAGCGGGUAGCACUGUUGCCUCACAGUUGCUGGGUUUGUAUCCUGGUCCAGGUUUGCAUGUUUCUCGCUCUGUGUGAGUGGGUUUUCUCCGGGUUCUUCCCACAUCGUCCAAAAACAUGCAGAAGUCUGGCUCCAUGUCUGUGGAUGUGCAGCACAUGAUGAUCUUCAGGGCGACGGACUUUCUUCAGGAACUCUUUCACACACCAACAUAAUGUUCCAGCUCACUCAAGUAUACAGACGCAAAAUAUCCCCUCACCUGUUGUCACACCCCUUUAAAGGUCAUUACACCAUUCUAAUGACCAGAGCCACAUCAUAAUAACAACAGUGUAGCCUAAU